AACGCAUUAACUGAGCAACAAGCUCUGGUUGACUUCCUUAAGGAUGAUAAAAGACAGAUUUAGUUAUCACAGGCAUCGGAAGGCCUUGAAGACACUACUUAAGUGCCACUGAAGGACCAGAAAUCUGGCUAGCAAGCCCACCAGGGCAGGCUCUGGGUCAAGGCAAUUUGGGUUCAGCUUCCAGCCUCAGGUCGAAUGGAGAUUCCACCUAGCUGCAGCACUGAGGGUUUGACACCGAGGAGCUUGGCCUUUCAACAGAUAAUCCAUCUUACAAUCCAUCCGGCUUGGUGGUGAGGAUGCUGGGAUUCCAAACCAGGAGGCACAGGGCAGAAAGCAGAGGGGAGCGGUUUUGUGCCCACCCCUGCAAGAGCAAGAGGAAGUCAUGGGUGAAUGCUGGUGACCAGGCAUCCCCAGAGAGGCCUGUGAGAAGGUAGCCCUUCAGGGAUGUUACAAAUACUACUUGGGGCAACUGUCAUCACCUUGGUAAGCAAAGAUGUGGACGGUUCCAGCAGGAGCUCUGAAUCGGCGUCAGCUCGCAGGACCACAGAGAGCUUUCCACCUAAAACCAACCGG